rnacentral:rRNA from 1 species
ACGCAAGCAAGUAAGGGCAUAUGGUGGAUGCCUAGGCGUUGGGGGCUGAAGAAGGGCGUGGCAAGCUGCGAAAAGCCUCGGGUAGCCGCAAGCAGGUGAAGAUCCGGGGAUACCCGAAUGGGGAAACCUGGCUGGGGUAAAGCCCAGUCAAUCCAUGCUGAACCCAUAGGCAUGGAUGAGCAACCGGGGGAACUGAAACAUCUUAGUACCCCGAGGAAAAGAAAACAACCGUGAUUCCCCGAGUAGCGGCGAGCGAAAAGGGAAGAGCCCAAACCUUAAUCGUGAAAAAGACUGUACUCGUUGCGAUUAAGGGGUCGAGGGCAUACGAGGGGCCUGGUACAGCGGGUCCGGUGAGUAAAAAGGCUUGUGCUUAGAAGAAAAGGUCUGGAAAGUCCUACCGAAGAGAGUAAAAGUCUCGUAUUCGAAAAGGCAAGCGCUCACCUGGUAUGACCCCAAGUACUGCGGGGCACGUGAAAUCCUGCAGGAAUUAGGGAGGACCACCUCCUAAGGCUAAAUACCACCCGACGACCGAUAGUGAACUAGUACCGUGAGGGAAAGGUGAAAAGCACCCCGGGAGGGGAGUGAAAUAGAACCUGAAACCAUAUGCCUACAAGCAGUCAGAGUCUGGCGUUAAGCUGGAUGAUGGCGUACUUUUUGUAGAACGGACCGGCGAGUUGCGUUAUGCAGCGAGGUUAAGGCUUGGAAAGCUGGAGCCGAAGCGAAAGCGAGUCUGAAAAGGGCGAGUGAGUUGCAUGAUGCAGACCCGAAACCGGGUGAGCUACCCAUGGGCAGGGUGAAGCGAGACUAACCUCUCGUGGAGGCCGAACCGACCGUCGUUGAAACGGCGGCGGAUGACCUGUGGGUAGGGGUGAAAAGCCAACCGAACCCGGAGAUAGCUGGUUCUCCCCGAAAUAGCUUUAGGGCUAGCCUCAGGUGGUACUUUAUGGGGGUAGAGCACUGAUCAGGCUAGGGGCGUCGACCACGUUACCGAACCUUUUCAAACUCCGAAUACCAUAAAGCAAAGCCUGGGAGUCAGACUGUGGGUGAAAAGAUUCACAGUCGAAAGGGAAACAGCCCAGACCGUCAGCUAGGUCCCGAAGUACAGGCAAGUGGAAAAGGAUGUGGAGCUAUCAGACAACCAGGAUGUUGAGCUAGAAGCAGCCACCAUUCAAAGAGUGCGUAAUAGCUCACUGGUCAAGUGGCUCUGCGCCGAAAAUGUAACGGGGCAAGUCUGUCACCGAAGCUACGGAUUUUGGAGGUCGGAAACCAGAGGUCAGAAGUCGGAAAAGGAAGUGAAGGCAUGAUACGCCAAUACCAUGACCUCAAAGUAUACCAAGAGUCAUAUAGACUAGUACUCGAAGUAUACGGGAUAACGAGAGCAAUGCCGGAAUAUGAGAGGCGUGAACUCGGAUACCAGAUGAGGCGUGCAGCAGUAUCAAUACCUGCGAACAUAGCAGAAGGCUAUGGCAGAAAAGAAUCAGCUGCAGAAUUCAAACACUUCCUGAGAAAUGCACUUGGAUCGAAUAAUGAAGUCAGAGUACUAAUUGACCUAGCACACGAUCUUGGAUACAUAACAACAAAAAAACACCAAGAACUAAGCAAACGUUAUGAAAUACUAGGAAAACAGCUGUUUACACUGAUAAAGAAAUGGACUAAGCGCUCUGACAUCUGACAUCUGGCCUCCGACUUCCAAGAUGGUAGGGGAGCGUUCCAGGGGCGUCGAAGGUAUACCGGAAGGUAUGCUGGAGCGACUGGAAGUGAGAAUGCCGGUAUAAGUAAGCGAGAAGGCAGGUGAGAAUCCUGCCCGCCGGAAGCCCGAGGUUUCCUGGGGAAGGCUCGUCCGCCCAGGGUAAGUCGGGACCUAAGCCGAGGCUUAAGAGCGUAGGCGAUGGACAAUCGGUGGAAAUUCCGAUACCGCCGGUAAGCCGUUUGAGCGAAGGGGUGACACAGGAGGGUAGGCACAGCGGGCUGUUGGAAUAGCCCGUCCAAGCUGGUAGGGAGGACUGAUAGGCAAAUCCGUCAGUCUAUAAAUCCUGAGAAGCGAGAGCGAGGGAAAAAUAGUACCGAAGUGGCUGAUCCCACACUGGCGAGAAAAACCUCUAGUGAGGCUUACAGGUGCCCGUACCGAAAACCGACACAGGUAGGCGAGGAGAGAAUCCAAAGGCGCGAGAGAACCCUCGUUAAGGAACUCGGCAAACUGACCCCGUAACUUUGGGAGAAGGGGUGCCCCGGUAGGGUGAAGGUUUUAAACAAUUGGAGCCCGAGGGGGUUGCAGAGAAGAGGCCCAAACGACUGUUUACCAAAAACACAGGUCCCUGCGAAAGCGAAAGCUGAUGUAUAGGGGCUGACGCCUGCCCGGUGCUGGAAGGUUAAGGGGAAGAGUGAGAGCUCUGAACCGAAGCCCCAGUAAACGGCGGCCGUAACUAUAACGGUCCUGAAGGUAGCGAAAUUCCUUGUCGGGUAAGUUCCGACCUGCACGAAUGGCGUAACGAUUUGGGCGCUGUCUCGACGAGGGGCUCGGUGAAAUUGUAGUACCCGUGAAGAUGCGGGUUACCUGCGACAGGACAGAAAGACCCCGUGGAGCUUUACUGUAGCCUGACAUUGGAUUUUGGUAUUUCUUGUACAGGAUAGGUGGGAGGCUGGGAGCCCAGGCCGCCAGGUCUGGGGGAGCCGUUGGUGGGAUACCACCCUGGGAGUGCUGGAAUUCUAACCUGCUGCCGUUAUCCGGUAGAGGGACAGUGUCAGGUGGGCAGUUUGACUGGGGCGGUCGCCUCCCAAAAGGUAACGGAGGCGCCCAAAGGUUCCCUCAGCGUGGUUGGAAAUCACGCGUAAAGAGUGUAAAGGCAGAAGGGAGCUUGACUGUGAGAGAGACAUCUCGAACAGGUGCGAAAGCAGGGCUUAGUGAUCCGGCGGCACCGAGUGGAAGGGCCGUCGCUCAACGGAUAAAAGCUACCCCGGGGAUAACAGGCUUAUCUCCCCCAAGAGUCCACAUCGACGGGGAGGUUUGGCACCUCGAUGUCGGCUCAUCGCAUCCUGGGGCGGAAGUACGUCCCAAGGGUUGGGCUGUUCGCCCAUUAAAGCGGUACGUGAGCUGGGUUCAGAACGUCGUGAGACAGUUCGGUCCCUAUCCGUCGCAGGCGUAGGAAACUUGAGGGGGGCUGUCCCUAGUACGAGAGGACCGGGAUGGACAGACCACUGGUGUACCAGUUAUCGUGCCAACGGUACAGCUGGGUAGCCAUGUCUGGAACGGAUAAGCGCUGAAAGCAUCUAAGCGCGAAGCCGGCCCCAAGAUGAGGUUUCCCACCCAGUGAAAACUGGGUUAAGACCCCUGGAAGAUGACCAGGUAGAUAGGCCGGGAGUGUAAGAGGGGUAACCCUUUAAGCGGACCGGUACUAAUAGGUCGAGGGCUUGCACCA